GGUCCCCCCGGGCGUCGAUGAAUGUGGGGUACCAUUCCUUGAUGAUGUGGUCAUGUUUGUAGUCGGCCUUAUUGUCCUUUAGAUGUUCCACGGUGUUCCGCUCGCUCUUCUCAUAGGCCUCCCGGGGCUUCCGGACAGACACCUUGCAUUCUCGGACCUUGUUGACGAUGAAUUCUUGGAUGAGAAACCUGAUAUCUUCCAUGAGUCAUCAUAAAGAAGUCUGAAUAUCUUGGUUGAGAGCUAGACUUUGGAAACAGAGAGACCCUGUAUAAUAACAGACUAAGAAGUAAGGAAGACAAGCCCAGCCAGUCCCACAACUAUUUCAUUAAUACCAGGUAAAGCAACAGACCUGCCAGUGAAGCAUCUUGGAUCCUUUAGCUUUAGGUGAGUUGUCUCAGAUUUCACCAUGUGAAGCAGACAUGCAUGAACUAUGCUUAUCUGCCUAAGCUGCAAAAUCAUGAGCAAAUAUAUUUUUGCCAUCUGAAGGAAUUGAUUGUGAUGAUUUGUUAUGUAACAAUAAACCAGUGAAAAUGUGAGUAUUCCAUGUAGGAAUAGAGGGAGUAGACAGUUAAGAUACAAUGAUAAAGGGCAUUCAUUCCAGAGGGAAGAGUGGAAAUAAAGGCAUAGAAGCAUGAAACUACUGUGUAUGCCUGAAUACAUUCCAGUAGCCUGUUAGUCAAAGUGGCUAGUGAUAAGAUGAUUAACUUGAAAAGGUUUUUUUUUUUUUUAAAGUAAAUUUUCUAGGAGUAAAGAGAUGACAUCUCAUCUCUGAAAAUUUAAUUGCUAAGAUUGUUGCUGAUACCACAACAAUUGAUAGAAAUACUGUAUCUUGCCAGUGACACGUUUUUGCAUGUGUGUGCAAAUAAUGUAAAAUAUCCAAUUCAGCAGGUAUUAUAAAGUGUAAAGUGUGGCCUAAAGACUAAACUUCUGGUCCAGUUUGUUGUGUGACUAUAAGCAAGUUACUUAAAUUUGCUGGUCUGCAGUAUGUUUUAAUCCAUAAAAUAAGGGAACUAAAAUAAA
rnacentral:lncRNA from 1 species